UCGCGUCGCCCCCCUCACCCCGCGCCAGCGGCGGUGUCGUGGGACGGAUACUGGCCUCCCGUGCGCCUAGAGCUCGCGGCUGGCCUAAAUGCGAGCCCACGUCGACGGACGUCACGGCAUGUGGUGGUUGAAACUCAACUCUAGCAGUGUCGUGGCCACAGCCCGUCGCGCGUGCCGGCUCCGAGACCCUUCCCGCGCUUUAGGCGCUCCGACC
rnacentral:misc_RNA from 1 species